GACGAACGCUGGCGGCGUGCUUAACACAUGCAAGUCGAACGGAAAGGCCCUGCUUUUGUGGGGUGCUCGAGUGGCGAACGGGUGAGUAACACGUGAGUAACCUGCCCUUGACUUUGGGAUAACUUCAGGAAACUGGGGCUAAUACCGGAUAGGAGCUCCUGCUGCAUGGUGGGGGUUGGAAAGUUUCGGCGGUUGGGGAUGGACUCGCGGCUUAUCAGCUUGUUGGUGGGGUAGUGGCUUACCAAGGCUUUGACGGGUAGCCGGCCUGAGAGGGUGACCGGCCACAUUGGGACUGAGAUACGGCCCAGACUCCUACGGGAGGCAGCAGUGGGGAAUAUUGCGCAAUGGGCGGAAGCCUGAUGCAGCAACGCCGCGCGCGGGAUGACGGCCUUCGGGUUGUAAACCGCCUUCGCCUGUGACGAAGCGUGAGUGACGGUAAUGGGUAAAGAAGCACCGGCUAACUACGUG
rnacentral:rRNA from 1 species